rnacentral:rRNA from 2 species
UGGAUUAGUGGCGGACGGGUGAGUAACGCGUGAGCAAUCUGCCUUACACAAAGGGAUAGCCUCGGGAAACCGGGAUUAAUACCAUAUGAUAUCUAUUGACCGCAUGGUUUAUAGAUUAAAGAAUUUCGGUGUAAGAUGAGCUCGCGUCCCAUUAAUUAGUUGGUGAGGGUAACGGCCCACCAAGAUAGCGAUGGGUAGCCGAUCUAAGAGGAUGACCGGCCACAUUGGAACUGAGAAACGGUCCAAACUCCUACGGGAGGCAGCAGUGGGGAAUAUUGCACAAUGGGGGGAACCCUGAUGCAGCGACGCCGCGUGAGCGAUGAAGGCUUUCGAGUCGUAAAGCUCUGUCCUAUGGGAAGAUAAUGACGGUACCAUAGAAGAAAGCCCCGGCUAAUUACGUGCCAGCAGCCGCGGUAA